UACAGAGGUCCCAAGCGUUGUUCGGAUUCACUGGGCGUAAAGGGUGCGUAGGUGGUGAGGUAAGUCGGAUGUGAAAGCUCGGAGCUCAACUCCGAAAUGGCAUUGGAAACUACCUUGCUCGAGGGUUGGGAGGGGGGACUGGAAUACUUGGUGUAGCAGUGAAAUGCGUAGAUAUCAAGUGGAACACCAGUGGCGAAGGCGAGUCCCUGGACAACUCCUGACACUGAGGCACGAAAGCUAGGGGAGCAAACAGG
rnacentral:rRNA from 1 species